UAACAAUUUCCUUAAAAAUCUUAAAAUUUUCUUAAAAUAAAAUUAUUUAUAAAUAAAUAUUAGGAUUAAAAGCUAAGAAAUUUAAUUUUUGUUUAUUAAGGUCGUGCUAACCUAAUUUGACAUGUGAGAUUCACUGCUAUUGUAAAUGUUAGAUAUCCGUCGUAAGAAAGUCAAUAAUUUUAGAGAGGCAAAAAAUUUGCUCCUAGUUUUGUUAGAAUGUGGUUAAGAUUGUGCCAGCAUCUGCGGUUAUACUCUCACUAUAGACUUAUAUUAGGUCUUAAGCUGUUAAUAAAAAAUACACUAUUAUUGGUGAAAUUUAAAAAUUUAUAAUUUAUAUUAGUUUAAAAAUUAAACUUGUAAACUAGGAUUAGAUACCCUACUAUUUAUUUAACCUAAACGAGUAAAGUGUAAAAUUAAUAAAUUUGGCGGCUUUAUUUACUCAGAGGAGUUUGUCUAUUAAACUGAUAAACCUCGUUCUUUGUUACUCUAGUUACUCUUUUAUACCAUCAUUUACAUAAUUUUUAAUAAUUAUUAUUGGUAGUGUUUUUAUUAAUUUAGAUCGAGGUGAAGAUAUACUAAUAGGUCUGAUUAACUACAUUAAGUAAUUUUUUAUAAAAUAAGUAAUUUUUAUAAAAUACAGGAUUUGAUAGUAAAAAGAGCACACUUUUGAUAAAAACCUAAAGUGUACAAAUUGCCCGUCAUUCCCAUUGGGACAAGUCGAAACAAAGUAGAAUAACCUGAAGGUUAUUCUA
rnacentral:rRNA from 1 species